AAGAAUGGAGGAAACCUACAUAGACAUGGAUGCUUGAAGAAUCGUCCAGCAGGGCUUCCCAACACUGUGUGACUGUGGCCAGAUGCACGCCUGUGUGCACACAUCCAGGGCAGCCUCAGUGUGGUCAUUUCUUCAAACAUUUCUUCUUCUCCUCAGGCAGAGGACAUAUGGAACCCACGUCAUUCCUGGAAAGUGAAAGAAGAAUGUCCCAGUGGCCAACUUGGAUGUGAUUCCAUGCUGUUCUGAGAAAUUCUGCUCCGAUUUUGAAUUCCCACCCAAACUUAUGCAGUAGAAUCACACCCAGGAAGCUCCCCAAGCUGCCCUUCCCACAAAACAGCCCAGCACUGUGUUUUGUUGUCCUAGCAGGAUUUUGUUCCUACUCCUUCUCCUUCUCAUGAUGAAAUGACCCAUCUGUCUAAUUCUGACUUUUUUACCUGCUCAGAAGUGACAAAGUGUUCUCCUCUUCAGGCCAGAGGACAGACCAUCAGAUGUGUGGGAGGAAAACCAGCCCAAUCACUGGCUCCUGUCAUAUUUCAUAGAGGACACCGCCUUGGGAAAUUGCCGUCUCUUUGGAUUUCUUCACGAUGCACAAACGUUCACAAUCUUGGCAUUUCCAUUUGCGUGCUUCAAUCUCUGCAACCCUUGUUUACGCCCUGGAAGAUGUUCAAUUAGUAUUUACUCAAUAAAUGAGUGAGGAUGUAUCUUACAUCUUCCCACACA